rnacentral:lncRNA from 1 species
AUGGCUGCUGGUGGUAAGGUCUCUCCGUUUGUAAGGUUUCUCUGCAUUGCUUUGCUUUUGGCUUCAGGUAAUUAGACCCUCAACCUCUCAUCAAUUUAGCCGCUUCAAAUUACUGUCGUAAUUAUGAAUUUAAAUUUGAAUGGAUUAAUAGUGGCAGGGCCAGCAGGGGCGCUAAGAAUAACAGAAAUUUGCCAGGGUCCAUGUUCUGAUUUCCCAGACUGCCGUGGGACUUGCAUAUCCAAAAAAUUUCCCAAGGAGGGCCUGUGUAUGGGAUAUGGGACUCAACCUCCGGCUUGCUGCUGUUUUGUAUAG